rnacentral:rRNA from 1 species
CCUACGGGUGGCAGCAGUGGGGAAUAUUGGACAAUGGGGGCAACCCUGAUCCAGCCAUGCCGCGUGUGUGAAGAAGGCCCUCGGGUUGUAAAGCACUUUCAGUGAGGAAGAACGCCUGGUGGUUAAUACCCAUCAGGAAAGACAUCACUCACAGAAGAAGCACCGGCUAACUCCGUGCCAGCAGCCGCGGUAAUACGGAGGGUGCGAGCGUUAAUCGGAAUUACUGGGCGUAAAGCGCGCGUAGGUGGCUUGAUAAGCCGGUUGUGAAAGCCCCGGGCUCAACCUGGGAACGGCAUCCGGAACUGUCAAGCUAGAGUGCAGGAGAGGAAGGUAGAAUUCCCGGUGUAGCGGUGAAAUGCGGAGAGAUCGGGAGGAAUACCAGUGGCGAAGGCGGCCUUCUGGACUGACACUGACACUGAGGUGCGAAAGCGUGGGUAGCAAACAGGAUUAGAUACCCCUGUAGUC